rnacentral:rRNA from 1 species
UGGGGNAUAUUGGACAAUGGACCAAAAGUCUGAUCCAGCANUUCUGUGUGCACGAUGACGGUCUUCGGAUUGUAAAGUGCUUUCAGUUGGGAAGAAAGAAAUGACGGUACCAACAGAAGAAGCGACGGCUAAAUACGUGCCAGCAGCCGCGGUAAUACGUAUGUCGCAAGCGUUAUCCGGAUUUAUUGGGCGUAAAGCGCGUCUAGGUGGUUUGAUAAGUCUGAUGUGAAAAUGCGGAGCUCAACUCCGUAUUGCGUUGGAAACUGCCAAACUAGAGUAUCGGAGAGGUGGGCGGAACUACAAGUGUAGAGGUGAAAUUCGUAGAUAUUUGUAGGAAUGCCGAUAGAGAAGUCAGCUCACUGGACGAAUACUGACACUGAAGCGCGAAAGCAUGGGGAGCAAACAGGAUUAGAUACCCUGGUAGUCCAUGCCGUAAACGAUGAUUACUAAGCGUCGGGGGUCGAACCUCGGCACUCAAGCUAACGCGAUAAGUAAUCCGCCUGGGGAGUACGUACGCANGUAUG